UACGUAGGGUGCAAGCGUUUGUCCGGAAUUAUUGGGCGUAAAGAGCUCGUAGGCGGUCUGUCGCGUCGAUCGUGAAAACUUGGGGCUUAACCCUGAGCUUGCGGUCGAUACGGGCAUGACUGGAGUUCGGCAGGGGAGACUGGAAUUCCUGGUGUAGCGGUGAAAUGCGCAGAUAUCAGGAGGAACGCCGGUGGCGAAGGCGGGUCUCUGGGCCGAUACUGACGCUGAGGAGCGAAAGCGUGGGGAGCGAACAGG
rnacentral:rRNA from 1 species